rnacentral:rRNA from 1 species
CGAAAGCCUGACGGAGCAACGCCGCGUGUGGGAAGAAGGCUCUUGGGCUGUCAACCACUUUUCUCAGGGAAGAAGUCCUGACGGUACCUGAGGAAUCAGCCUCGGCUAACUCCGUGCCAGCAACCGCGGUAAUACGGAGGGGGCAAGCGUUAUCCGGAAUUAUUGGGCGUAAAGCGUCCGCAGGGGGCGCAUCAAGUCUGCUGUUAAAGGUCGGAGCUAAACUCCGGUUAGGCAGUGGAAACUGGUGCGCUAGAGGGCGACAGGGGUAGAGGGAAUUCCCAGUGUAGCGGCGAAAUGCGUAGAGAUUGGGAAGAACACCGGUGGCGAAAGCGCUCUACUGGGUCGCGCCUGACCCUCAGGGACGAAAGCUAAGGUAGCG